UCGGUUGGCUAGAGUUUAGCUGAUCCAGGUUGACUGAGCUGGAUUCAGAUAGGCUCUACAUGUCUGUCAUCCUCUUUGAACCAACAGCAUUUGAAACAUGAUCUUCUCCUAGAGAAAGAGAGGAGUACAAGGGGCCAAGCCAAUCCACAAGCUCUUAUAAAGCCUCUGCUUUCAUGUCAGUCACAGUUGCCAACAUGUCCACUACAGCCCCAAGGAAUGCUCUAAAAGCUCAAAACUACUCUUGAAAGCCUGUCUCAAAGGAAAUAGACCAGAAAGAUUAGGAAGAGGGAGGCCUGAGAAAGCAAGCAUCAUUUCAUAGGGUGGACAGCUGCCAGUUUCUGCCUUCCCAGCAUUCACACCUGACUUCCUUUAGUGACCUAAAGGGAUGGGCAGAAUGACCCAGCCAACUUGCUCUUCCAGGAAAACUUCAGGAUGGAAAACAGCUCCUGCUUCAUCCUGAGGGUUCAAAAUACGGAGGCCGCAUUGUGUCCAUGGAUGGGAGCAUGGAAAGAAACCUUUAAAAGCUGGACCAAGAAAGGAAAGAAGACAGAAAAGUAGGAAGAAAUCCUGAUACUGGUGGUACCAAAUGCCUCUGAAAUUGUUUCGAAAGUAAAAGUUAA
rnacentral:lncRNA from 1 species